rnacentral:sRNA from 1 species
AGCCAGGAAUAUAUGGGACAGUGUAAUAGGCAAGAAGAAAAUAGAGCACAAAAUAAAAUACGCGCUGAAUAUCUAUAUAUACAUUUUUGCAGCAAUUUUGUGAAAUAAAUCUUAUAGUUGGGACUUAUUUACAAUAGCUGCCACUGGAUUUUAAUGUUUGUUUUUGAUAAUUAGAAAAAAAAUCUUCAAAUUAAAUAUUUGACAUUUAACAAUCUUCCCUAAAUCUCUCCACAUUAACUACACGAUUAGUUACUAAAAUAAAACUUUCAAAAUAUUUAAUAUCAUUUAUUUACUACAAAAUUAUCAUUUUUGAUAUUGUUUUUCUCCAUGACUAUAACAAUUUAAUUAUAAUCGUCAAAUCGCAGAGAUAUUUGAUAGCAUUUAAUUAUUACAAAAUUACAAAAUAUUUAGACAAUAAUUCAUAAACAUAUCAUAAAUAAGAUUAACAUUAAUAAAAUAAAUGUUUUUUUUAUGGGACGGGUUGGCGGGACGGGUUUGGCAGGACGUUACUUAAUAACAAUUGUAAACUAUAAAAUAAAAAUAUUUAUAGAUAGAUACAAUUUGCAAACUUUUAUGUAUACUAACUUUAAAAAAUAAAUUGUUUCCGCGGUGUACCGCGGGUUAAAAUCUAGUAUUUAGUGAAGAACGAAAAAA